rnacentral:rRNA from 1 species
AACGAACGCUGGCGGCAUGCCUAACACAUGCAAGUCGAACGAGACCUUCGGGUCUAGUGGCGCACGGGUGCGUAACGCGUGGGAACCUGCCCUUAGGUUCGGAAUAACUCCCCGAAAGGGGUGCUAAUACCGGAUAAUGUCUUCGGACCAAAGAUUUAUCGCCUUUGGAUGGGCCCGCGUUGGCUUAGCUAGUUGGUAGGGUAAAAGCCUACCAAGGCGACGAUCCAUAGCUGGUCUGAGAGGAUGAUCAGCCACACUGGGACUGAGACACGGCCCAGACUCCUACGGGAGGCAGCAGUGGGGAAUAUUGGACAAUGGGGGAAAGCCUGAUCCAGCAAUGCCGGGUGAGUGAUGAAGGCCUUAGGGUUGUAAAGCUCUUUUACCCGGGAUGAUAAUGACAGUACCGGGAGAAUAAGCUCCGGCUAACUCCGUG